AUGUCGCAUAGGGACAAGGAGGUCUGGGGGGCUGACUCCGACGAGUUCAAUCCCAUGAGGUUCGAGAAUGGCGUCUCGAGGGCCGCCAAAUAUGCAAACUCGUUACUCGCCUUCUCAUCCGGCCCAAGAAUCUGCAGUGGGCAGAACAUGGCCAUGAUCGAGGUGCAGACAGUGAUGGCAAUGAUCCUGAGAAGGUUCUCCUCUCUCUCCCCAAGUUACAUUCACAAGCCCACAAACUUGAUCGCUCUCAAACCUAAGUUUGGGCUUCCUGUCAUCGUGAGGAACCUGCUGGAUGGGCAUGAUGAUUCAAGUGGAGUUGGUGCUUAA
rnacentral:rRNA from 1 species